AUCGAAUGAAGAACACCAGAAAUUAUUUCUGUGGACAUUGGCUGAACAAUUAACACAUUUUAGCACUGAAGAAGGAACUUCAACCUAGUCUUUUUACGCACAAAAGGAGACAACAUUUUCACCAUAUUUCAGAAAGACUCAUUCUAUUAAAGGAAAGCCAAGAAACACACUUGUAAGCGAGUAGGGAGGAUUUUUCUGCAACAUAAGCUAUUUAAGGAGGUAUUAGUAAAAGAUGAUUAAUUGAAUUUAAUUAAAGCUUUAAAUCUAACAUCAGUGACUUAGGCCUUUCUUGGCUUGGUUCACAGGCUCUUAAAAACAUGGGUGAAAUUCUGAAAGCUGCAGGCUGUGACUUCACUAACGUGGUGAAAACAACUGUUCUUCUGGCUGACAUAAAUGACUUCAAUACUGUCAAUGAAAUCUACAAACAGUAUUUCAAGAGUAAUUUUCCUGCUAGAGCUGCUUACCAAGUUGCUGCUUUACCCAAAGGCAGCCGAAUUGAAAUUGAAGCAGUAGCUGUCCAAGGACCACUGACAACAGCAUCACUAUAAGUGGACCCAGUGCUGUGUAGUCUGGAAUUGUUAACAUUUUAAUUUUUACAAUUGAUGUAACAUCUUAAUUAACCUUUUAAUUUUCACAAUUGAUGACAGUGUGAGUUUGAUGAAAAUAUCUGAAGCUAUUAUGGAAAUACCAUGUAAUAGGGAGAGUUGAACAUGAAGAUUAGAGAAGGAAUCCAGUUACUUUUUUAAAUUACACCUGUGUGCACCUGUAUUA
rnacentral:sRNA from 1 species